UGCAGUGACACGGGGUGCCGCCUACGCGGCUGAGAUAACACCCGUUGAACCUGAUCCAGUUAAUACUGGCGAAGGGAUGUCCGGUUUUUACUUG
rnacentral:ncRNA from 2 species